GCAAUAGGAGUGACUCACACAAGCCAGGCGCGCCGGCCGUGUCGUUCCACUCGUAAACAACAGCUGCAACAGAAGUGACUCAUAAGCCAGCUGCGCCGGCUAGUAUAAAAAGGCGGAACGUGCCUUGAAAUGGACAUUCGUUGAACUGCGCUUGCCUGGUGCACUUACUAUAUUCUUGUUACGUUGUGUGAUUCAGUGACUGUUGUACGUACUGGUUAAAGUUGGACAAGUGUUAAAGUGAAUUGUUACGAUAACAUAUUUUUGAUUAAAUCAGGAAUCAAAAAGUGACAUCGUUUUACUUGGUGUUCAACAAGAUAAUAUCUACCCUCAAGCUUACACCAGAAGUGAGAUCAGGACUCUACUCUCACUGGCGUGACGUGUUUGAACAUGUUCGAAGUACAGCAAAAAAAAACAUGAUGCAGAUCAGAAUACUAGUAGUGGUACGCCACAAGAGCGUGAAUGCAGCAUACGUAAGUCGUGUAAUAACGUCUCUGUUACCUCGAUGGAAGAUCUGAGCCACGAAGAAAUCGUCACAUCUUACGUUCUGGCUCAUGUUGCCCAGUUUGACUGUCGACUUCAUCACAUGGCAUUUACUAACGGAAAUACAACACGUAACAAGCUAUUGCAAGAAAUUAAGGCAAGUGCAAAUCUCAAGUAAAACUUCGAUCGCAAUAAUGGAUCUGUCAUGACGAGUGGGUAGUUCCGACACGAAUCGUUUUUAAGCCAAUGACUACUGCUAGAGUUAUAUGGCACUAGUACAGUAAAACAGGACAUGAGACUGUAAAUUGUCGCUGAAAUUUUAGAAUCUACUCAAUUCAAUACCAAUAACACUACACGUUCGAUGACUUCGGGCUCCAGCAAGCAAGCAAACAAGAAAGCAAGCAAGUUUCCGUGGGGAUGAAAAAUUGACACAUCUGAAGUCGUCGUGACUUGUAAGAUAAGACGUCCGGUGCGUUCGUGUCUGGCGAUGCGGCGGUGUUCGGGUUCCGCUGGCGGAUGCAGGUUUUUCCGGUGAAGUGCGUGCUUGUGCGUGUUUGACAAGUGUUCGCGGUUGGCUUCCUCAGUGUAGGAGUAACAUCGUGUAAGAGAGGUGGAACCCGUAAAAUUGUAGUUUGCGUGGAGGCUGGUAAGAUUUGUUGCGGUAAGAAGUUUGCAUGGUGGUAAAAUGUCUUGUGAGUCUACAUAGGUAGCCGGAGGUGAGACUUCCGCGGUCGCGGCCCACCCAGUCCGCGAGAACCGGGCAGAUCGCCUCGACGGUACGGAGGCCGGCUGACGGGUCCGCCAAACGACGAGACCACGCCUCCAGCACGGACUGCCGAUAUUGGAGCCCCCGCGCUCCGGCUGCACUUGCGCUAGGGCGCGCCGCCUCGUAGGAGACUGUGAGCCUGCAAAACCUGAACAACCUCCUCAUCCGUGGGCGCCCGGCUCUCGCCUGCAAGUCGGCUGUUACGUGUGCGGUGAUGCGAGCCAUGUAGCUUCUGGGUGUUCCAUGCGCUACAAGAAGAAAAACGACACUGCUCCAGGUGCUGUGGCAGGUCCAACCAGAGACGUCAACGUGUGUUCCAGAGCUUCAGUGUGUUACAGAUAAGUGGUUUUGGCUCCCCCUUUAUGUUCCAUUCAGGGUCAGAAUGUAGUCUUAUAAAACAAAGCCAUAGUAAUUUAUUCAAUGGUAAGCGGUUUCAUGAACAAGUCACCGUAGUCACCCUAGACACGUCCUUACGGAUCCAUCAGAUCCAAUAACUCUUGCAUUAGAUA